CUCCUGAAGACACACGACUGCGUUACGCAGUUUCGACACAACAGCCCUAACGGCGCACCGUUUAGAGGGAUCGUUAAGCCCUCUAACGUUCCAACUACAGACACGAAACAUAAAAAAACCUGCAGACUCACACCACUAAAAGCAAAACAGGGUCAGCCAAACAAUCGAACAGACAGCCUACAAGCAUUCGUUCGCAAACUUGGAAAAGCUCGCCGCUUCGAUCUCGCCUAACUUCACACCGUAUUUCAGACUCUUGGAGAUGGUCUUCCCAAUAGA
rnacentral:lncRNA from 1 species